UCAAAAUAUCAAAUCAAAUUUGGCAACGAAAUAGAAAAUGUGACAAAACAACAUUAUUAAUUAAUUAUAGAAACUUCUUUCACUUGAUAAUUAUUAUCAUAACUAACACAGCGUAUAUUAUUAUUAUGUAUCUUAAUCAACAUUGACUUAAUCAGUCUACUAAAAUCAAUCUAGAAAGAAACGUCAUCUGAGGUUCUAUUUCCUCAUAAAAUUCAACAUAUUGUACAGAUUGUACGGCAUUUGACAAAACAAUAUUAUUCAUCAUAGGAACUUCUUUCACUUAAAAACUAUUAACUUAAUUAACACAGAGUAUAUGUAGCCUAAUCAACAUUGACUUACUUAAUCAAUCCACUAAAAUCAGUCUAGGUAGAAACGUCAUUUGAUACCUCAAAUCAGGAUGUAGUACCCUAUAUCCUCAAAAAAUUCAAUAUUACAAAGAUAACAUGUUCUCUCAUUUACUAAUAAGUUUAUAAUCACAAUUAUAAAGUCGAUAAAUCAACAUAAUAACAUUGAGUAAUAAAAGACUUCUAAAAACAAUAUUCAGUCUCUGAAAAAUUGACUAAGAAUUGAAGUCCUUAUAACAGUUUCUGUCUCUCACGAUACGACACGAUUUUACACGAAUAUAAAACAAGAAAACGAAAAAAGUUCCCAAGUCCAACAUACUAACUCCGAUAAAAAAAGGAAAGGACAGAAUCUUAUUACAUGUUUGUUGAGGACUCUGAUUCUUCAGCAGCCAGUGAUAAUGUUAAUACUACAACAAUAGACCUGGAAACCUUACAAUAUUUAAAAGAUGAAAACAAUACCUUAGAAUCCUUGAACAACUACCCAAAUGAAAAAAAACAUCCUUAAAUAUAAUACCUGCUUACCGAGUUCUGCCCAGGCUCUUCAAUCUUAGCUGAUCGCCAAUGGUAAUGGUAGGAAAGCUACACAAUCAAUUUUAGGAGUCAGCAACACUGAUAGCGCCACUAUGAGCUUUCCGUCGAUUUUAUUUAGCAGUAUUGUAAUUUAGUUCUUCCGUAAAAGUAAUGCAGAGGGCGUUAAAAUGAUACUAAAUUCAAUUUACACUUACGGUGAUAUUAAUGUUAUGGCUUUUGGGGCAUUUCAUUGUGGUGGUGUUAUUUCUGCGACCAUCCACAUGAUUUUCAUACCAUUUGGUAGAUUUCUAGUAAAUCAGUGUCAUACAAAAAAUACCUAAUUUUUAAAUUCAAGGUAUUUAAUAGAACUUUCAGCUAUUUCAAAAAAAUUGGUAUUGAUAUUUUUUGGUGUUAUUUAGUGUGAUUGGUAUUUUUUUCUGUUAUUUAGUGAAUGUAAAGGCGUUUUUAACAUUAAUUUAUUUAAUUACGGUAUAAACUGUUUUAGAAAACUGGUAACACCACCAAAUCCGCCAUAUUUAAUUCAUUGUUUUGUUUUGAAGAACAAGCAGUGAAUUUCUAAUUUUCUAACACAAAUUACUAUUUUCCAGUGUCUACUGUCGAGUUGAGAGUAUUCUCCUCCAGUUAGUGCGGCUGUAUAGAAUUCUUGUGAUUGUGUGUUGAGAAAGAGACUCGUUUAGUGUUUAUUUUGUAUUGAGACAGGACUCUAUGCAUUAUGUCGAUGUCUAGAAAAAAGUGUUGUGUCCUGGGUGUUCUUUCGAUUCAGAAAGUAAGUAUAGACCAAACUUUUCUUUAUGAUAAUACUCAAAACAACCAACUAACUUUAACUACUCAUCCAAACCUCUCUAUUCAAUUGAUUCUGACAAGCCCAAGAAGCACGUGGGGAAUAUUUAAAAAAAGGCCAGGAACCUAAAGAAAAUGUCUUUUUUAUAAAUGACCAAGAAGUGGUACCCUUGUAUGACCCUCCACAUUUAUUAAAGUGCAUAAGGAACAAUUUAUUGACCAAGAAUUUGGUUUAUUACGAAAAUAAUAUCAAACAUGUAGCAAAAUGGGAGCACCUAAUACUGCUGCUUAAAGAAAAUCCUGGCUACAAAGGUGUAAGGUUGAUCCCUAAAUUAACUGAAAACCACGUCCUGCCAGAAAAGGUUUCCAAAAACAAAAUGAAAGUGAAAUUGGCAAGUCAAAUUUUCAGCAGGACUGUUGCAACAAAUAUGGGUUACCUUGCAGAUAAAGGAAUUCUGCCCAAAGAAUGCAAAGAAACGGCUGAUAUUCUUAUAUUCUUUGAUAAUCUUUUCGAUUCGUUAAAUGGGAGUUUUAAAAUGAAUAAAUUUGCGAAGCCUCUACUCGGACCCGUCACGCCAAAAUCGCAACACUACAAGGUGUGGCAAGAUGCCAAAAUUAAAUUAAAACAA